rnacentral:rRNA from 1 species
UUAGAUUAAGUUAUUAAGGGCGCACGGUGGAUGCCUUGGCACUAGAAGCCGACGAAGGACGUUACUAACGACGAUAUGCUUUGGGGAGCUGUAAGUAAGCUUUGAUCCAGAGAUUUCCGAAUGGGGAAACCCAGCACGAGUUAUGUCGUGUUAUCUGCAUGUGAAUACAUAGCAUGCAAGAAGGCAGACCCGGAGAACUGAAACAUCUUAGUACCCGGAGGAAGAGAAAGAAAAAUCGAUUCCCUGAGUAGCGGCGAGCGAAACGGGAAGAGCCCAAACCAAUAAGCUUGCUUAUUGGGGUUGUAGGACACUCUGUACGGAGUUACAAAAGAAUUUGUUAGACGAAUAACCUGGAAAGGUUAAUCAUAGAAGGUAAUAAUCCUGUAGUCGAAAACGAAUUCUCUCUUGAGUGGAUCCUGAGUACGACGGAGCACGUGAAAUUCCGUCGGAAUCUGGGAGGACCAUCUCCUAAGGCUAAAUACUCUCUAGUGACCGAUAGUGAACCAGUACCGUGAGGGAAAGGUGAAAAGUACCCCGGAAGGGGAGUGAAAGAGAACUUGAAACCGUGUGCUUACAAGUAGUCAGAGCCCGUUAAUGGGUGAUGGCGUGCCUUUUGUAGAAUGAACCGGCGAGUUACGAUCUGAUGCAAGGUUAAGCAGAAAAUGUGGAGCCGUAGCGAAAGCGAGUCUGAAUAGGGCGAAUGAGUAUUUGGUCGUAGACCCGAAACCAGGUGAUCUACCCUUGGUCAGGUUGAAGUUCAGGUAACACUGAAUGGAGGACCGAACCGACUUACGUUGAAAAGUGAGCGGAUGAACUGAGGGUAGCGGAGAAAUUCCAAUCGAACUUGGAGAUAGCUGGUUCUCUCCGAAAUAGCUUUAGGGCUAGCCUCAAGUGAUGAUUAUUGGAGGUAGAGCACUGUUUGGACGAGGGGCCCCUCUCGGGUUACCGAAUUCAGACAAACUCCGAAUGCCAAAUAAUUUAACUUGGGAGUCAGAAUGUGGGUGAUAAGGUCCAUAUUCGAAAGGGAAACAGCCCAGACCACCAGCUAAGGUCCCAAAAUAUAUGUUAAGUGGAAAAGGAUGUGGCGUUGCCCAGACAACUAGGAUGUUGGCUUAGAAGCAGCCAUCAUUUAAAGAGUGCGUAAUAGCUCACUAGUCGAGUGACACUGCGCCGAAAAUGUACCGGGGCUAAACAUAU